CAGAGUCCAGUGCCCUCAUUUCAAGUCUGAGGAAACGAGUCCAGAGGAAUUAAGAAGCCUGCCUAAGUCUGAGCAAGUAACCCUAAACAGGGAGCUGACAUCAUUGUGGCUGGAAGUCUGGAAUUAUUCAUAAGUCAGACCCAGAUUCCAGCAGAUUUUCCGAAGAGAGGAAAAGAGGAAGAAAGAGGUAGAGAGGAUUCAUUCCCUGACAUCCAGCAUUCUACUUUCUACUCAUCCAAGAGGAAUCAUACAUUAUUGUUUUUUAUAUCUUCAUGGUGUUUUCCACAACAGCUGCAUCAUUUCAGAAUCUCACCAACAGUGCCAUUUGCUUUAAAAAUCAUCCAUUUCAGAAUGUUCUGAUGACAGAUACUAAAUUCAUCAUUGAGUGAUUUCUGAAAUCACAGCAUGUGAUUCUCAGUCAGGGCCUGGUUUUCUAAACCACAUAGAAGACCAAUAAAUAUUUGUAAAAUGAAAAACUGAGCAACCCCAAGUUUUUGUUGCUUUUUCUCAUU